AGAGAAUACAGAGGAGAGGACGACACAGGCGUUCACGGCGGCCGGCAACAUGGCGGCGCGGCGUUCUCAAGCACGGCGGGAUGUGUCGGUGUGGUGUAAGGACUAACACUCAGCUUCCCUCAGAUGUUCCCGGUGACCUCUGACCUCAGAGUUUGGGGUCAAGCCCUGACAAAUGAGACGGCCGAGUCCUUUGCCAGAACUGCAAACAUUCCACAACAAUCUCAUGUCCUCUUCCUCUCCCUUCAUAUCCGCGCCACCCCGACGCCCCCUUCUCCCCCCGCACACUGUACGUAUUCCAUGGAUUGGUCCAAAAAAAAAAAAAAAAGCUUUAUUGGGUUUGCUGUAGUCAACAUACCGAGGAAUUACAACAUGAUCUACAAUUUCCCUGACACGUCCGCCUUGUCGAAACAAGUAAAUAAAACAAAAUAGCAUGAUCUCAUAGGGGGGCUGAGGUCUGGGUGUGUAAGAGAUUAAGAUAUUACAGCCAGGCAAACUAUGUGAUUUUGUGUGUGUGUGAGAGAGUGUGUAUAUGUUCUUGUAUUUCUACCCUUCUUGAGACAUCAACAAGAGAAAGGACCUUCCAUAUGAGGACCGGUGAACAAGUUAGGACCGAAACCAUGGUCCCAAUAUGGAAAACAAUUGCAUCUAAUAGGGAAUGUCUCAUUUGCACCCCUGGUGGUGAAAUCUAUCAAAAUUUGGAUGGUUCCAAAAAAGAGGCAUUUUUCAAAUUGACUGUGUGUCAGUUGCAAACGUGCUCCCCCUCUGGUCAACAUAUGAAAUAACAAGUGUGUGUACAAAUUUGAAGUGCACACCCUCUGGCCGACAUAUAUAAUAGCAAGUGUGUGCAAGAAAUUGAAAUGCGCUCCCUUUGGCCAAAAUUUAUAAAAUAACAACAUUGUGUAUAGGGACAUACUGUAAUAACUUGAAGUUACAUAAUGAAGAUUAAGAAAAAAACAAACAAACAAAAAAUUCAUCCAUCCAUCCAUUUUCUACCGCUUAUUCCCUUUUGGGGGCGCUGGCGCCUAUCUCAACUACAAUCGGGCGGACGGCGGGGUACACCCUGGACAAGUCGUCAAAAAAUUCAACAACAAAAAAAUUAACUAAAAGUGUACCUUUUUUUUAUAUUUGCAAAGUAUGUAUAUAUUAUUAAUGUUGUAAAUACAAAUCUUUAUAUAUCUGGAAAGGGUGGUCCUAAAGAGGUAGGCAUUUUACGGAGGUCUCAAGCAGGUAACAAGUACAAGAAUGCGUGUGUCUCCGUGUGUGUGGGUGUGCGUGUGUGCGUGUGUGUGUGUGUGUGUGUGUGUGUGUGUGUGUGUGUGUGUGUGCGUGUGUGUGUGAAAAUCUUGUCAGCGAUGUCAAGGAUGAGGAAUGUUGCAGUGUGAUUUUUACACACACUGUUGGCUCUAGCAUUUCCGGCAACAUUUCUCACUCUGCCUUCCUCGCACCAUCCCCUGUCCUGCAAUAUCCCCACAUUUUUCUAUCCUUUAAACACAUCACCCCUCACCCAUUCCUUCGCAGGCCUCCUUAUUCCCUCUCUGUCCAUUUUGUCUCCUUUUACCACCAGUCCCGGCUGUCCCAUCGUCAGCCAACGUCAACCUCACCCUUCUUCCUCCACGCUCUCUCUGUCUGCAUAUCUUCCUUGUCACUUUUUCUCUCAUUUUCCAACAAGUCACCAAAAGAGUGCAAGAACCUGGAACUACUGAGGGCUAAAAAAAUAGGAAGCUAGUUAAGGUAAGUGGCAGCUCCUGUUUUGGAAUGACAUGGCAAAAAUGUAUUCAGCUGUAGUUGGCGUGUGUUUGUGUGCAUGUGGGAGACAGACACUGCUACUGCAUGUAAUGUACCACGGAGGAUGCACAAUUUCCAGUCACUUACGACAUAAUAACAAGGAUAUGUGCAGAUAAAACAUAAAAAACUGUACCGCAAGAUGUUUUCUCUAGUUGAAUGUGGAAAUAUUGUCGGCUGAAAUGUAAACAUUUGUACUGACACAAAUGACAGCGCAUGAUAUAGUAUUAUUUUCCAUAGUUUGUAAGUUUAACAAUAAAGUGCCUCGUGCACAAUAUGGAAAAUUCUUCUGAGUGGACUGUAAAUGAGCCGGAUUCUAGCAAAGACGCAAAUUUAUCUCAAGUGUCAACUAAUUGUUUUCCUCUAAAUUAGCGUAAACGACCUAUUUUCCCGUGAUUGAAAUACGAUAAAUGAUAAAAAAAAAUGCAUGUUGAUGAAGAUUAUGGCAAAAUCUACUGACAUUUUAGUAAACAAAUAAAAUUGAGACAAAAAUGUUGACAGAAACAAAGUUUUUUAGGUGGGUGGGACAAACUUUAUACGGCAUACGAGGUAAAAAGGAAAUCCAAUCAGGUGUUUUUCUUUAUUUUACAUAAUUAUUAAUAAAUCGAUUUUUGAAUGAAACAUGAUUCUUAUUUGUAAUUAUUUUUAUUCGAUUGAAAAAAAUUGAUUUUAAAAAAGCAUUAAAAAAAAUCUGUCCUCUCCAGCCACAUUAUUGAAUGUUAAAUGUUCGGGUAGAAAUUUAUUAAACAAAACCAGUUUCCUUUUAAGUAAUAAAUACACGUUUCAGAGCGUUUUGUCAAUUUCAUGGAGGAAAUUACGUAAUCAUAGACCUGCCACCCAAUGUUUUUAAAAAAUUAAUCAUUUUGAAUUGAAAAACAUUUUGAACCGAGAAUAAAUUCUGAUUUAAAUUGUUACCCUCCAAGAAUCAAAUUGUGUUGUGUGGUGCCCCAAAAUUCCCAGUCCUAUUAAAAAGCAAUAAGACAUUGAAGAUAUCUUUUAUUUUAUAAUUCAUAUUUUAGUCAACUAAAUUUACUGUAAUUUUUGCCAAAAUGUUGUGCAAUUUAUUUGACUAAAACUGAAUCAAUACAGAUUACUCAAAUUUGAUGAAGACCAAAAUAGUAUAAAACUUCUGUCAAAAUUACAACUGAGUCCAAGUAGGAAUAUAUAUUGUUUCCUUAUAAACCAGUACUAGUACUAAAUAAGUACUUUAAAAAUGGUGCCUGAACCGACACUCAAAAUAAGCAAACACAAAUAAAAAAUAUAUUUUUUAUUUUUAUAGAAUUUUGUGACAUUCAAGUCGAUAAGAUUAGUAAUUCAGAUACUUCAAUAAUAUAAAUAAAAUGAUAACUAAGUAAUGCAUUCAUAAAUAAGCAAUAAAAUCCACAACAAAUUGUGAUAAUUCUCGCAGAAAUCCAGAACAUAGACAAACGUGCAAAAAAUGACUUGCUUGUCACUUCUCAUAGUUUCUGGAGUUCCUGAAUGCAACCUCACUCGCCGUAACCGUCAGGAAGUCCUGUCACUGUGUUGUUGUUGUGCCAGCGGUGUGACGAUCACCAAUACAAUUUAUAAAGUGUGUCAGUCGUUACAUGUUGCAGGUGGCUGAGUCUGCAAUCAUUUACCACCGAAAUAGGGCACCAAUAUAUAUAUAUAUAUAUAUAUAUAUAAACAUUUUUUUUUUUUUUAGUUUUUUUGGUGUGGUUACGUUGUGGAGCCAAGUUGUGUUACUCAUCCCUAGCCCGAAGACAGAAACAAACAGGAAACACAGAAGGACAACAUGACAAAAUCAAGUUAAAACCAUACAAAAGACACUGAGAAAACAAAAUAAACAAUGCAAUUAGUCAAAGUGAUGAAAUGACUAGGCUGGUUAAACAUCGACCCCACAUUCCCUUUAAAGCUCCACCUAUGAAAACAAAAACAGUCACAUGUAAAAAAAAGUCAGGAUGUGAUGCUUGCUUCUGUAAUUGUACUAAAAGACACUGCUAUAAAAAUAAAAACAUCAAUCACAUAA